AGCCACCCUCCGCUUCCUUGAUGCCCACCCGGUAGCGUCCAACGGCUCCACGAAGUAGAGAUCUUUUUCGCUCCCAGGCCUUGCCAGGCGAUGCCUCUACGCCCCACUUCGAGAACUCCCUAAGCAUCUCCCUCACGCAUUCCAGGGGCUAAGGACUACCAGGGUGGGAACUAGCGGAGAAAGCUGAUACCUCACCCACCACCGAGCAGCCACAGGGC
rnacentral:lncRNA from 1 species